rnacentral:lncRNA from 1 species
GAAAAUUCUAUUGGGAUGUAUCCCGACCUACAGCCACAGAACUUCAGAGGCUCAACGUGGGGUUUUCCUUGGUAACUUAGAAGGCUUGGGAUAAAAGUGAGGAUGUUUUUCCAGAGUGCCUCCCUGUUGUGUCAUCGGGCAGACUAGAAGAAAACCCUGGUGCAGAUUGUGGAGUCUCCAGACUGCAGACUUAGUUUCCUGUCAUACAUUAUGCAUGGAGGGCUACUGAGAAGAUUAACUAAGAUACUGUGACCAAAACAUCUGCUAUCCAUAUAAAAACAGCUACAGGGAGCAAGAGUGCGAUGCCUGCACCGGAGUGCGGAGAGCCGGAUGCUCAAAAUUCAGUGUUUCCAGAGGUUUAACCAAGGAGAGAAGAACCACUCUGAAUAUGGGUGUCACCAUCCUAUCGGCUGCGGUCCUGGACUGAAUAAAGCCAAAAAAGGGGAAAGCCUAGGACCAAUGUUCACAUCUCUGCUUCCUGCCUGCAAAUGCUGCCGAUGUGACCAACUACGUCAUCUCCUGCUACCGCUACGUCAUCUCCUGCUACCGUGCCUUCCCACCUUAGACUGUGACCACCCUAGACCACCAGCCAAGAUAAACGUCCCCUCCCUUUAAGUUGCUUCUUGUCAGGUAUUUAGUCAACAGCGGUGAGAAAAGCAACUGAUGCAAUGGUGCGACACACCAGCCUGAAUAACCUUGGACUCCUGAUAGAUCUUGAUUCAUCUGUAAUCCCUGAGGCAUUCUGCAGCUAUACGAGCCAGGCAUGCAGCUUCAUCUCUGCAUCGCGGAGCAUAAGGUCUCUCCAUCGUGUAUAGACAACCUUUAUGGACAAGUGUCUGUCCACUUCCUAGUCAACACAGAAUGUUAGGUCUCAGGUAGUACAAAUAUGCAACAUGAGCUCUCAGCUGAGCUAUAGAAAGAUUUCUGGCAGUCAGAUAAGAACAAAUGUUCUUGAGGAACUCGUGAAAUGGGCUUUCUGUCCACCAAAAGGAGUCAAUUUCCUUGACCUACACACACACACACACACACACACACACACACACACACACACUAGCAUCCUGGCCCUUCUCUCCUUCCCUAAACUCCCAGGCCUGCUCCAAGUCUCCCCCAGCCACUAUCCUCCUUUUAAAUGAUUUUUAAUGAUUUUACACUCUGCCCUUGCUAGGCCACUUCUCUCACAGAUAGGCCUACCUACGUCCAGUCUGUUUCUUUUUCUCUCUGCUCUGGACUCUUCCGGAUACCUCUUACCCACAAUUCUCUCUCUUACCUUCACCCUUAAUGGAUCAGCCACUCAGACAGGCAGAUGUUUUAUUAUCUCCCCUAGCAUACAAAGACUCAGUAAAAGCUCUUUCCUUCAGUCUGAACUAUUGGCUUCCAGGGAGAGCCUGUGUCUCUGCUAAGCUGGUGACAGAUGACACUCUCUUUUAUGUUAAGAAAUCAUGGAAGUAACAUAGUUUAACAUACUCAUAAUAUACUCAUGUUUCUAAGUUAUUUACUAAUAAAUGUGUUCUAUACUUGUG